rnacentral:lncRNA from 1 species
AAACUUAUUGGAAUUAACAUCAUUUGAUAUAGUGACUAUUUCUGAGUUAAGAAAACAUAAUUAAGACCGCAAAAUUACAAUAAUUAUUAAGCCACUGGCUUAUUCCAUAGCACUGUAUAAACACAGCAUAGAAUAAGAAGAUGAAGAUCCCAGAAUGUGGAAACAAAAAGCUGACAAGUGAUUGAGGAAUGGUGAGAAGACACAGGUUCUGAGGACUGCUGGACAGCCUUUCCUGUUUUUAAAGAAAAGCUCUCUUAUCAUGAGAGAAGAGUCAUGAAAACCAAAAGGUUUCUGCAUUUAAUUCGUUAUUUAGAGGGCUGAAUUUAUGCUUUGACUUACUCUUUGAUUACAAGCACUGGUGGUUAUAUUUUAUCUAUUUUGUGGAAAUGAGUUAGCACAUGUAGAAAACUGCCCUGAAAGGGGCUGAAAUGAAGCCAUUAAGACCGAAGUGUACUUUUUAAAACUCCAAACGUCAUGAUUUAUUUCUUGAUCUUGGUGAUACUUAUAUGGGUGUGUUCACUUUGUAAACAUUCAUCAAACUCUAUACUUACCACUUGUGUACUUUUCUGUAUGUGUGUUAUACUUCAAUUAAAAAGUUUACUUGAAAGAAAAAAUCCC